GCUUGCUUCGGCAGUACAUAUAUUAAAACUGGAAGAAUACAGAGAAGAUUAGCAUGGCCCCUGCACAAGGAUGACACGCAAAAUAUUGAACAAAUACAUAAUAUU